rnacentral:rRNA from 1 species
AUUCUACGGGGGGCAGCAGUGGGGAAUAUUGCACAAUGGGGGAAACCCUGAUGCAGAGACGCCGCGUGAGAGAAGAAGUAUUGCGGUAUGUAAAGCUCUAUCAGCAGGGAAGAAAAAAGACGGUACCUGACUAAGAAGCCCCGGCUAACUACGUGCCAGCAGCCGCGGUAAUACGUAGGGGGCAGGCGUUAUCCGGAUUUACUGGGUGUAAAGGGAGCGUAGACGGUAUGGCAAGUAUGAAGUGAAAG